GGUUCUUGACAUUGUACUGCAUCCUUCCAAGGAUUCCUUCUGAUAUUGUGCUUCUUCAACCAUCUGUUCAUUGAGUUUCUUCUCUGACUUCUUUCUCCAAUCCCACUCAACAUUACUCCUGGCCAUGGCUUUUUUCUUCUCCAAGGUAUCAUUUUUCUCCCUUUCUUCUCUAUAUAUUCUGUCUUCUUCCGACAUCUCAUUGUCGGUUUUACUUUCUUGUCUCCUUCUUAACUCUUUACAGUGGCCACUUGAUGUUUCCCCUGCAAAUCCAUCAUCUUUGAUCUCUUCUAGAUCACUCUCAAAACCACCGGAAGAUGAAAAUGAAUGAUAAGAUGAACAACUAGAGGCCUCUUUCUUUGCCC
rnacentral:lncRNA from 1 species